UACGUAGGGUGCAAGCGUUGUCCGGAAUUAUUGGGCGUAAAGAGCUUGUAGGCGGUUUGUCGCGUCUGCUGUGAAAUUUCGGGGCUCAACCCCGAACUUGCAGUGGGUACGGGCAGACUAGAGUGUGGUAGGGGAGAGUGGAAUUCCUGGUGUAGCGGUGAAAUGCGCAGAUAUCAGGAAGAACACCCGUGGCGAAGGCGGCUCUCUGGGACGGUACUGACGCUGAGACGCGAAAGCGUGGGGAGCGAACAGG
rnacentral:rRNA from 1 species